rnacentral:rRNA from 1 species
UACGGAGGGGGCUAGCGUUGUUCGGAAUUACUGGGCGUAAAGCGCACGUAGGCGGACUUGUAAGUCAGGGGUGAAAUCCCGGGGCUCAACCUCGGAACUGCCUUUGAUACUGCAAGUCUCGAGUCCGGAAGAGGUGAGUGGAAUUCCUCGUGUAGAGGUGAAAUUCGUAGAUAUUAGGAAGAACUCCAGUGGCGAAGGCGGCUCACUGGCCCGGUACUGCCGCUGAGGUGCGAAAGCGUGGGGUGCAAUCAGU